rnacentral:rRNA from 1 species
GACGAACGCUGGCGGCGUGCUUAACACAUGCAAGUCGAACGAAGUGGCGAACGGGUGAGUAACGCGUAAUCAACCUGCACUUCUGAGGGGGACAACAGUUGGAAACGACUGCUAAUACCGCAUACUGAAGGAGGGGUUUGCGUCUGAUUAGCUAGUUGGAGGGGUAACGGCCCACCAGGGCGAUGCUCAGUCGCCGGUCUGAGGGGAUGAGCGGCAACAGUGGAAAUGAGACACGGCACAGACUCCUACGGGAGGCAGCAGGGGGGAAUCUUCCGAAAUGGACGAAAGGCUGACGGAGCAACGCCGCGUGAGUGAUGACGGCCUUCGGGUUGUAAAGCUCUGUUAAGCGGGACGCGGUACCGGAAGAGAAAGCCACGGCUAACUACGUGCCAGCAGCCGCGGUAUC